ACGAAAGGGGAGGACACAGAUCAGCCUGGGAAAGGAAACAGACGUCCAGGGGUUCAGUGCCUGUCACUGCGAAAGCAAAUUCCAACUCUAAUUAACAACAAGAGUAACACUGGCUGCAUGAGGGUGGAUCACUGCACAGACUCUAAAGAUCCUGUUUGAAUUUAUCCUCUAGCAUAUAAAGGGAUGGACAGAAGAGAGGCAUUGGUGAUUUCUGCAAGUUUCAUCAUGUGUUUAGCAUUUACAGGCUUGGUGGAGGGCGCAGACAAGUGCAAGAGAAUACCAUGUGACAAAGAAACCUUUGAUGUUUGCGUUGAUAAAUACUGUGUUCUUCCGUUUCAUCAAACCAUGGCAGCGAUUGACUACCAACUGAAAUGUCCCUGGCCGAACACUAGAAAAUACUACAUCAAACUGAUUAUGUGCAUCGAGACUUUUGCAAACUCCACAUGCUGUACACACGUUUCCAGAGAUGAGAUCUUCAUGGAAAUCCACCAGGUCUAUUUCUCCAUGUGCUAUUAUAUGAACGAUCCAGGUUUGCACAUCCUACUAGCGCUCAUUGCGCCCUGCACCAUUGUCCCAUUUAUGGUACCAUUCCUUUGCCAGUACUUCAACUGAGUCUAAACUGCCAAUGGAGGACCAUUGACUGCCUAGUGCAUUACAGCAAAGUGUCUGAAUCAAAUCACUAGUAUUCUCAGGUGUUUUGACAGUGCUGGGUGAUUAUUCACAAUACAUUCGCAAUGAUUUUGUUUGAUAUAAAUUAAGCAACAAUAUUAACAUCAAAUAGUGAUUUUUAUGCAUUUUUGUAAUUUAUAUUGGCCAUAAAGACUACGUCGUUAGACUUGUUUAGCAUUCCCACCUUGUUUUGUGGUUUGAGAGUUUAGACUGAUGUUUUAAUAGGGUCUGAUUUAAACUCCAGUAGCAAAAAUAGUGUUUGAUAUAUUUCAGUCAUUCAGUUCAAACAUUCUGUUUCAGUUAAUUACACAAAAAAAAAAAAAAAAAUAAAUAAAUAAAUAAAUAAAUAAAGGCCAAUUAAUAUUACUAGUAUUCUCUAAUGUUUAGAUAGGGUUGGGCAAUGAUUCAUGAAGCCCCAGGCACACUACACUUCGCAAUUCACUACCAUUCAAAUGCAUCCGAACAUGGGAGACCAGAAACACAAGCUCAUGCGAAGAAAUUUCGCAUUCCGCCGGUUACAAAAGUUCAAGUUUGGUGACCUAUGACCUGCGAAUCUGGAUGACGAGAAGACUUGAGACCAAUAGGUGAUCGAAACGUAAAACACUAAUCUUGGCUCAGUUCAAAGAAAACUUAUUUCUGAGCUGCAUGUUUUUAUUGUUGUAGGAAAGUGAAUAGAUUAACAUUUUGAAUAUAAUAUUUGUGAUGUAUUAUUUGCUAAAACCAACAGUCUUAAUAUCCUGGUUCAUUGUGUUGUCUGAAAUAAUGUCACGUGCUCAAAUUGUAGUGUGACAGCCCUGGCGCAACCUUAAUACACUUGCCUUGAUUUUGUUUCAUGAUAGAAAAUGAACCAAUAAAUAUCACAAUAAUAUUAAUACACAUUUUAUAAAUUUUUUUAUUUGGCCAUUAAGUUUCCUAAAGACCACAUCAUUAGACUAGUUUCACAAUCCCACGUUGUUUUGCAGUUUGAAGUUUAAUAGCAUUCCGAUUUAAACGAGUUGGUUAGAGCAAUUUAUUUCCGCAAUUAGGUCCAAACUGUCUGUUUAGGUAUAUUGAUUCAAACCUGAUUCAGUGACCUUGUUUACAUGCACUUAAGAAAACGGUUUAUUCCAGGGUUUUCUGAAACGUCAUGUAAACGAGAACGCCGAUUUCCUUACACCGUUUAAGGGAUUAAGAGAAAGCGGUUUAACACUCAUAGGUUUCUCCCAGAUAAAGAUGCUUAUGUGGCCAUUUAAACACAUAAGAGGCAUUCUAAGGGGUUUUUAAGAAGUGCGCAUGUGCAUGAACAGACCGGAAAACGAACGUCAUAGGAUGGAGCCAUUCACCAUAUCAACAAGUCAACACAGCAGAAAGAAUUCAACAUUUCUGGGACUACAGUGGGAAAAGCACAUAGUAUCAGGAUCCCAACUCUCUAGUUUAUUUUUUGUUGUGUCGGGAUCCAGUCGCCUGUCUUCCUGGGUUUGUGCCUGUCUUGUGUAUCUAGUGUCAGGAUCCUGCCACUACGGUUGAUCUUGUUUAUAGUUUUUGAGGCUGGAUCCUGACACUAUUGUUGUGUGAGUGCACUUGGCUUUGUGUUUUCUCAUUGCCAUGUGCCCUCGUGUCUGUGCUGUCUUAAGUGAUACCCCAUCCCCUCGUUUGCCUUGUUAUUAGUUCAUUUGCCUCACCUGCCUUCCCUCAUUACCCUCCUCAUUUCCUUCCCUAUUUUAACUCCUCUUGUGUUUUGUCCUGUGCCAGAUUGUUUUGUGUUAGAUCCAGUCAGUUGGUUCCUGUUCUGCUCAUUAUUUCUUGGUCUGUCUUCCUGUUUGUUUGGUUCCUUAAGUUUUAGUCCAGUUUUUUUCUCCCUUGUGAGAGUGUUUUGUUUGCAUUUUGUUUAUUUUUUUAAUAAAGCCCAUUCACUUGUCUCUGUGUUUGGGUCGUUCCCUGGCAUUUCCUGACAUGUACACUAUAAACUAUACCCAUUUAUAAACACCAAUUUAUAAUAUCAAUGGUCCCUCAAAUUCGCAUAUAUGAGCUCGUACACGUGAGAAUUACACGUGAGAGGGAAACCCUUUAUUGCAGCGCAAUUCUACUGCAGGUCGCAAUAGAAAGUUAAGGAAACAAACAGAGCAACAACUCUGGAAUAUCUGGAAAUAAAGCGAAGCAACAGAGAAUAAAAUAGUAAAUUCUUCCUUGAAUACCAUUUUGGUUAUUUACACAAGCGUCACGGGAAAAUUAUGUAACUGUGGAGAAAGCUGCUUACUGACCGAGCCACAUGUAUAUGGGGGUAAAGUGUACUCCGCUUAUGCAGGGCAUGUAAACAAGAAUGCUGCUUUCUAGCAAUAAGCUGCUUUCUAGUGUCCAUGUAAACAUAGUCAUUGACCCCAUUUACAUGCACACCAAUAGGCUGAUUACUCUCUAAAAUCAGCUUAAUUAAAAAAUCUGACAAGAAAAUAAAUCAUUAUGUCAUAUGAUUAUGUCAUCAUUAUGUCAUUAUUACAUGACAUUUGAAAUAAUCUCGUUAUUCUCUACUUUUGACAUUAAACCUUGAAGAGACGUGCGCUCAACAUGUGCGCACAUUGGAUGAGCAGGUAAGAUCACCGGGUAACAUGGCAAAAUCGGCAUAAUGGGCAAAAAUCUACCCUUGUUGAUUGAUUUAUUCAUAAGA